UGAAGGGAAACUCAUCAGUGGGGCUACGAGCUGAGUGUGUUGCGUCACUCUACCAUGGCCAUUGGGAAGGUCUGAGACUAGAGCCAACAGCGGCCCUAUCAGGGUCCUCGCUGAGCUCUGGGGAAGUGAGUUCCCGGAGGCGGGGCUCAGUGCGAGGGCAGACUAGGCAGGAGAUGGCAAAUACCUCAUUGUUCAACAAAUUUGCAGUACAUGUUUCAGCGUGGACUUAUUGCUUCCUAUUUUAUUUAAUCAGUCAUAAUCUACUAUUACUGUUUAUUUUGAUUCAGAAACUGGAAGUCUCUUCA
rfam:Fukomys damarensis contig119581, whole genome shotgun sequence.